rnacentral:lncRNA from 1 species
UUCAAAUAUUUUUUGCCUCAAUUACUAGAAAGCAUGGACAAACAGUCUGAUAAAUGUUUCUAAAUAAAAUGUUAAGAAAUAGAACUCGAAAGUGAGAAUUAUAUAUUUUAGAUGAUACGAUAAAUUUUACUGAAUACAUGUUUAUUUUGUUUGACGUUAAAAAACCCCAGGUUUAUAUGUUACCCCUUCUAAUUUCUCAGUCUUAGUAUAUUUUCUCUUCUUCAAUGCCCUAUUUUUUUUCCGGGCUAUCUUUGCAACAGGUAAUGAGUGUCUUUUGAAAUCAUUGAUUCGUUCGAGAUCAAAUUUCUCAUACAUUUCUACAGUAUAUUUACUUGUUUCAAUAUUCAGUGACAGUAAAAUUUGCAAAAGACGUCGAAAUCCUUUAUUGAAAUUUAUAACAGCAAUAUAGGCACCUAACAUGAAAGUUUCUAAUUCCACAAAAGUAUUGAUGCAGAGCAAGGAGUCUCAAAAUAGUUAGUGCGCCAAAAACAUCGAUAAAGUGAGCCAAAGGGUGAGUUUGGCGAAGUUCCCUCUUGCUGUAGGGGUUGCACCCAUUUAGGAAUCAGUAGAAGGUUUGCAUAGCUGAGGAGACGUGACCUGUUUUGUGAUGACGCACUCUGGUGAGUGAUUCCUAGAUUCUCUUCCCCUUUGUAUUACUUAAUCAAUUGUAAUUAUGUAACCAAGAAUAUUUCUAUAAUUAAAAUUUAACUCUAAAUAUGAGUUUUCUAAUUUUAACUAAAAGUAACGUAAUUCCUAUUAACGUGAUACAAUAAAGUGUAUCAGUAUUUUUGGGUACGAUAUUCCAUAGACAGCCAUUACCCCGGCAGGAUGCGUGGGGGUCCAUAUGGACUCCAGACGAUUUUAUUAAUAGAAUUUCUUUUCUUCUAUUGACCUUGACAGUUCUUUCUGUUAUGUUAUGUUAUGUAUAGGUGAGAUCUCGGCGUUAAGCGCUUCUUACCGAUUCGUCGAAUCUGAUUUGACAUAAGCUAGUAGGUCAUAAGUUACUAGAAGUAUUAGGUUGAGUCCAAAAUUUCACAGAAUAAAAACUGUGAAGUCAUGAAAGUCCUGUGUGGAUGCAAAACUCAAUUAGUUUUGCGACUCUGGUAGGAGGGAGCGAAGCAGCUUGACUAGCUCUUCGUUCUGUAAGAGUUCCUUCAUUUCUUUGAAGAGGAGCAAAAAUCUGCUGGCUGCAUCUGUAUGAGUCUUAGGUUGGGCUCUUCUUCCUUUAAAGCCAUAUCACAUGUGCAGAAAUUCACCCAACACAACGCAACAGCAAGAUAAACUUUGCAUCCAACAUUCAGUCGCAAAAAGUUGUUCUAGGGUUGCCAAAGUUCAUGAAAAUGUUUAUCUUAAACGCGCCGAUACCUUCCUUCUAUCCCGGCAAUUUAGCGCCCAUACAGUCGAUCUAUGAUUCUUCAUAGGUGAAAAUCAGUAUUCUUAACCUGGCGAUUAUUGUCUGUGUAUUAUUUUACAAUGGAUCUCGCAUAUUUAUCAAUUCCAGCCUUAGCAAUUUAUGGAUCGAUAAUUAAAGAGAAGAGAAAGAAAUGUUGGGCAAGAAAAUGGCUUCUAAGAAGAAAAGGGCUGGGUUGUUAUGAAAAUCUGCUGAGAGAACUGGCUCUUGAAGAUCAGGAAAGCUACAGGAGGUAUUUACGAAUGGAUACCGAUAGCUUUCAGUAUUUGCUGAAGAAAGUCUAACCAAUGAUAAG